rnacentral:snRNA from 1 species
GAGUAUUACAGCUUUUUUAGAAUUUGUCUAGCAGGUUUUCU